rnacentral:rRNA from 1 species
CCUACGGGUGGCUGCAGUGGGGAAUAUUGGACAAUGGGCGAAAGCCUGAUCCAGCCAUGCCGCGUGUGUGAAGAAGGCCUUCGGGUUGUAAAGCACUUUCAGUGGGGAAGAAAGCCUUGGGGCUAAUACCCUCGAGGAAGGACAUCACCCACAGAAGAAGCACCGGCUAACUCCGUGCCAGCAGCCGCGGUAAUACGGAGGGUGCGAGCGUUAAUCGGAGUUACUGGGCGUAAAGCGCGCGUAGGCGGUCUGAUAAGCCGGUUGUGAAAGCCCCGGGCUCAACCUGGGAACGGCAUCCGGAACUGUCAGGCUAGAGUGCAGGAGAGGAAGGUAGAAUUCCCGGUGUAGCGGUGAAAUGCGUAGAGAUCGGGAGGAAUACCAGUGGCGAAGGCGGCCUUCUGGACUGACACUGACGCUGAGGUGCGAAAGCGUGGGUAGCAAACAGGAUUAGAUACCCGUGUAGUC